rnacentral:rRNA from 1 species
CUUGCUUUCUUUGCUGGCGACCGGCGCACGGGUGAGUAACACGUAUCCAACCUGCCCUUUACUCGGGGGUAGCCUUUCGAAAGAAAGAUUAAUACCCGAUAGCAUAAUGAUUCCGCAUGGUUUCAUUAUUAAAGGAUUCCGGUAAAGGAUGGGGAUGCGUUCCAUUAGGUUGUUGGUGAGGUAACGGCCCACCAAGCCUUCGAUGGAUAGGGGUUCUGAGAGGAAGGUCCCCCACAUUGGAACUGAGACACGGUCCAA